CUGCUUCAUGAACUUCUGAAGAGUACGUGUCGUUUGUCCCGCUAGUCGGCGGCAAGCAGCAAUGGCCCUGAGCAAUGGACAUGACUGACUAUGGACUGAGACUGCUGAAAUUAAAGCUGAGAUUCCAAACUGUUGUGCCAUAGAAUAUAAGAAAAACAUACAAAUCUGGAAAGAUUGAAGUAUUGGAAAAAUGUUUUCUAAACUGUCAUGAAGAAAUGAUGUGCAUUGAUUUGGACUAUUCCAUUUUAACAUGUAUUUAUGAGUAUCCCAUGCAUCCUAAUUUUGCACCAAAGACAAUUUAAUAAUAAAUGAUUUUCAAGUAA